rnacentral:rRNA from 1 species
UACAGAGGGUGCAAGCGUUAAUCGGAAUUACUGGGCGUAAAGCGUGCGUAGUCGGUUAUUUAAGUCGGAUGUGAAAUCCCCGGGCUCAACCUGGGAAUUGCAUUCGAUACUGGAUAGCUAGAGUUCGGCAGAGGGAAGUGGAAUUUCGGGUGUAGCGGUGAAAUGCGUAGAUAUCAGGAGGAACACCGGUGGCGAAGGCGGGUCUCUGGGCCGAUACUGACGCUGAGGAGCGAAAGCGUGGGGAGCGAACAGG